rnacentral:lncRNA from 1 species
CCUUUAUAUGGUUUUAAGGAUUAAGAUAAAAGAAAACAUAUAUGAAAUAGCUAUGAACGUUUGGAGACACCCCAGGGCUUGGAUUAAAAGAGAUGCUUAACUAAAGAAAUCUACUAAUCUCUUGCUUCCCCCUAAGGUUUUGUUUCACUUUUUGGCUGUAAUGAUUUCUAGAGCCUAGUCUAGCCAAGCUCCAUUCUACCUGGAGGAUGAGCUAACUCUACAAUCAAUAAC